rnacentral:rRNA from 1 species
GCCAGCCAGUGGGGAAAUAUUGCCACAAUGGGGCGCAAGCCCUGAUGCAGCCCAUGCCGCGUGUGUGAAGAAGGCCUUCCGGGUUGUAAAGCACUUUCAGCGAGGAGGAAGGGUUCUGGUGUUAAUAGCACCUGUUCAUUGACGUUACUCGCAGAAGAAGCUAC